AUGCACGCUGGCGGCGUGCCUCAUCCAUGCCAGUCGAGCGAACGGACGAGAAGCUUGCUUCUCUGAUGUUAGCGGCGGACGGGUGAGUAACACGUGGAUAACCUACCUAUAAGACUGGGAUAACUUCGGGAAACCGGAGCUAAUACCGGAUAAUAUUUUGAACCGCAUGGUUCAAAAGUGAAAGACGGUCUUGCUGUCACUUAUAGAUGGAUCCGCGCUGCAUUAGCUAGUUGGUAAGGUAACGGCUUACCAAGGCAACGAUGCAUAGCCGACCUGAGAGGGUGAUCGGCCACACUGGAACUGAGACACGGUCCAGACUCCUACGGGAGGCAGCAGUAGGGAAUCUUCCGCAAUGGGCGAAAGCCUGACGGAGCAACGCCGCGUGAGUGAUGAAGGUCUUCGGAUCGUAAAACUCUGUUAUUAGGGAAGAACAUAUGUGUAAGUAACUGUGCACAUCUUGACGGUACCUAAUCAGAAAGCCACGGCUAACUACGUG
rnacentral:rRNA from 1 species